rnacentral:rRNA from 1 species
UGAGAGUUUGAUCCUAGCUCAGGAUGAACGCUGGCGGCAUGUCUUAGGCAUGCAAGUCGAACGGUUCGGCGCAAGCCGGACAGUGGCAGACGGGAGAGUAACACAUUGGUAAUCUACCCUCGAGUCGGGCAUAACCCUGCGAAAGCGGGGCUAAUUCCCGAUGGUCUUGGCUAACGAAAGUUAGUUAAGUAAAGUUUCGGCGCUCGAGGAGGAGCCUAUGUCCCAUCAGCUUGUUGGUAGGGUAAUGGCCUACCAAGGCUACGACGGGUAGCGGGUGUGAGAGCAUGACCCGCCUCACUGGGACUGAGACACUGCCCAGACUCCUACGGGAGGCUGCAGUCAAGAAUAUUCCGCAAUGGCCGAAAGGCUGACGGAGCAAUGCCGCGUGCCGGAGGAAGCCCUUCGGGGUGUAAACGGCUUUUGCCGGGGAACAAGCCCCGCCCCUUUUCUGACAAGUAUUAUUACUAAUCAAUGGCCAUAAGGCGAAGCCGCCUUACGGCUAUAAUUUUGAUAUUGGUUAUAAAAUUGGUUGAAAAAGGGCGGGGUUGAGCGUACCCGGCGAAUAAGGGGCUGCUAACUUCGUGCCAGCAGCAGCGGUAAUACGAAGGCCCCAAGCGUUAUCCGGAUUUAUUGGGUGUAAAGGGUCCGCAGGCGGUUUGUUAAGUCUCUGUUUAAAUCCCGAUGCUCAACAUCGGAUCGGGCAGAGAUACUGGCAGACUAGAGACCGGGAGAGGCCAGUGGAACGGCUGGUGUAGGGGUAAAAUCCAUUAAUAUCAGCCGGAACACCAAAAGCGAAGGCAGCUGGCUAGAACGGUUCUGACGCUAAGGGACGAAAGCGUGGGUCGCGAACGGGAUUAGAUACCCCGGUAGUCCACGCCCUAAACGAUGGAUACUAGGGAUUGGAAGUAUCGACCCUUCCAGUCUCGCCUCCAACUUAGCUAACGCGUUAAGUAUCCCACCUGGGAAGUACGGCCGCAAGGCUAAAACUCAAAGGAAUUGACGGGGACUCGCACAAGCGGUGGAGCAUGUGGUUUAAUUCGACAACAAGCGUGGAACCUUACCAAGACUUGACAUCUAGCUGCACAUUCGGGUAAUGCCGAAUUCUUUCGAAGGUGCUAGACAGGUGCUGCAUGGUUGUCGUCAGAUCGUGCCGUGAGGUGUACCCUUAAUUGGGGUAACGAUCGCAACCCCUGUCCUAUGUUACAUUUCUCAUAGGAGACUGCCCCUCACCUUGCGCAUAAGCUUAGGCUUGUGAGCAGAGUGAGGGGAGGAAGGCGGGGAUGACGUCAAAUCAGCAUGGCCUUUAUGUCUUGGGCUACACACGUGCUACAAUGGUUAGUACAACGGGCAGCAAAAUCGCAAGAUUGAGCUAAUCCCUUAAAACUAAUCUUAGUUCGGAUUGAGGGCUGCAACUCGCCCUCAUGAAGCUGGAAUCGCUAGUAACCGCGCAUCAGCCACGGCGCAGUGAAUACGUUAUCGAGUCUUGUACACACCGCCCGUCACACCAGGAGAGCUGGCAAUGCCCGAACUUCGACGUUUGUCGAGGGAAGGUAGGGUUAGUAAUCAGGGUGAAGUCGUAACAAGGCACCCGUAGCGGAAGCUGUGGGUGAAUCACCUCCUU